rnacentral:rRNA from 1 species
CUCCGGUUGAUCCCGCCGGACCCGACUGCUAUCGGAUUGAGAUUUAGCCAUGCGAGUCGAACGUCCCCCUGUUGCGGGGGGCGUGGCGUACGGCUCAGUAACACGUAGUCAACCUGCCCUGGAGACAAGGACAACCCCGGGAAACUGGGAUUAAUCCUUGAUAGGUCAUCUCAUCUGGAAGGAGAGAUGGCUUAAAGGGGUACGCGGGCUUCUUCCGCGAAUUCGCUCCAGGAUGGGACUGCGUCCGAUCAGGCUGUUGGCGGGGUAAUGGCCCACCAAACCUGUAACCGGUACGGGCCUUGAGAGAGGUGGCCCGGAGAUGGACACUGAGAGAAGGGUCCAGGUCCUACGGGGCGCAGCAGGCGCGAAACCUUCGCAAUGCGCGAAAGCGUGACGAGGUUAAUCCGAGUGACUCCCGCUUAGGGGGUCUUUUGUCAGCUGUAAAUAGGCAGGCGAAUAAGGGGAGGGCAAGCCUGGUGUCAGCCGCCGCGGUAAUACCAGCUCCUCGAGUGGUCGGGGCGAUUAUUGGGCCUAAAGCAUCCGUAGCCGGUUCCGUAGGUCCUCUGUUAAAUCCAACCGCUUAACGGUUGACCUGCAGAGGAUACCGCGGGACUAGGAGGCGGGAGAGGCGGACGGUACUCCGCGUGUAGGGGUAAAAUCCUUUGAUCCGCGGAAGACCACCAGUGGCGAAGGCGGUCCGCCAGAACGCGCUCGACGGUGAGGGAUGAAAGCUGGGGGAGCGAACCGGAUUAGAUACCCGGGUAGUCCCAGCCGUAAACGAUGCUAGCUAGAUGAUUCAUUCGCAAGUCGCGAAUGAAGUGUCGCAGGGAAGCCGUUAAGCUAGCCGCCUGGGGAGUACGGUCGCAAGACUGAAACUUAAAGGAAUUGGCGGGGGAGCA